AAAGCCCUGUUUUCUAGGACGAUAAUGACGGUACUAGAGGAGGAAGCCACGGCUAACUACGUGCCAGCAGCCGCGGUAAUACGUAGGUGGCGAGCGUUGUCCGGAUUUACUGGGCGUAAAGGGUGCGUAGGCGGAUGUUUAAGUGGGAUGUGAAAUCCCCGGGCUUAACCUGGGGGCUGCAUUCCAAACUGGAUAUCUAGAGUGCAGGAGAGGAAAGCGGAAUUCCUAGUGUAGCGGUGAAAUGCGUAGAGAUUAGGAAGAACACCAGUGGCGAAGGCGGCUUUCUGGACUGUAACUGACGCUGAGGCACGAAAGCGUGGGUAGCAAACAGGAUUAGAUACCCUGGUAGUCCACGCCGUAAACGAUGGAUACUAGGUGUAGGGGGUAUCAACUCCCCCUGUGCCGCAGUUAACACAAUAAGUAUCCCGCCUGGGGAGUACGGUCGCAAGAUUAAAACUCAAAGGAAUUGACGGGGGCCCGCACAAGCAGCGGAGCAUGUGGUUUAAUUCGAAGCAACGCGAAGAACCUUACCUGGACUUGACAUCCCUUGCAUAGCCUAGAGAUAGGUGAAGCCCUUCGGGGCAAGGAGAC
rnacentral:rRNA from 1 species